CUCGAUUUGUUGCAGUCUAAUAAUUCAAACUAAAUCAACUGAAAAUUUGGUAUUUUAUACAAAGCAAGUGGUUAGUCCUAUAAAAACCACUGUCCACUGCUAAAUAUAUAUGCAGCAUGUGAAACGCAUACAUCAAGGGAUUUUAUCACAAAUAUGGUAAAUUCUCAUAAAAUUUGCAAGUCACGAAAAUAUAUCAUUAUAUUCUCUCCCAGACAAGUGACACAAUGACCAUUGUAGUAAAAAACCCAUACACAAUCUUUAACUGCCAGCAAUGAAUAAAAGGCAGCCAUAAUUGUUCUGUAGACUAGAUAAUCAUUAGGAUGAUACAUCCCCCGCAUGUAACGGCCUCGUUCUGCUGACAGACCCCAUGCGCACAGUACAUCAACCUGCAGCUACUAUGUUCUCAUUCUGCUACUUUCUGCAGCCCUCACUUGUGAAAAAUAUGGAUGUGCCUGCACCACCACAAACGGUAGCUUUUGUUACCCAUGAAAUGUUAGCCAAGAAGGGAUACAGAUCACAGAUUGUGCUAAGUAUCUCAAAACGCAGAUAAGGUCACAUUACUAGAAAGGUCACUUUACUUGAAAGACGAAGCAAAACGAAGAACUGCAACCAGAGGUAAGUAGUUACUCAAUCAUUUGAGACAUAAAUUAGCAUAGCAUAUGUUUACUCAUUAUAAGGUCAAUGAUCAAGAGGAAUAGUUUUAAAUAGGAGAUUCCCUCCAAUCUCCUACAGCUAGCCCCUGGAAAUUUCCUGAUGUCCACUAGGCAUUUUACUUGCGCUAUGGCAGGCGUGGGUUGUUAAGCCAUUUUGUGUGCAAGAUAUAAUGAACAUCUCUCCUCUUCCUAUCAUGCUGACCAUUAAAGGUCAAGGAUGGGAGGGUGCUACACGCAAUCAUUGUUCCUGAUCUACCAAUCCAUCCACUUUACAAAAAAGAGAAGGUAAACACACAAGUGACAUGCCCAAAAGGAAUUACCAUUGCUUCUCUUGCAGUUAGCCUGUCCUGAUGAUCAUACCGAAGGAGCUUAUCAAGAAAAUCAAUGGCCUGCAUGUCAGAAGAAACCACACAAGAACAAAAACCAUAUUAAGGCUACUGAUGCCAGGUUAAAAGCUACAUAUUGAACAGGCAUAAUAUAAGAAACCUCUGGAGAAACCAGAUGCUGAUUGUCUGCAUUAAUAAAUUUGGACCAGGGCUUUCUACUGUGCCUGCCGCGUAGAAAACAACAUAUUAGUUCAAGUUGACUACAGGUCUCCAGCUAUAGGUUUGGUUUACAGGACUUGAUAUAUGAUACAAUUUAAACUGCAACACCGUUUAAUAAAAUUCAUAAUCAUGCUGGAGAAGAAAAUCAGACAUGACAAACCUCCCAACAAGUGCAUCAAGUUGAGGAUCAAGCUCUAAGUGAUAUUUAUUCAGAUAUGCAUUCAAUUCAUCAGUUCCAAGUACCUGAAAUCACCUUAAAAUCAGGCAGUGGUCAUGUGGAAUCAAUUAUUUUCACAAUUUUCAGGCAAUUAAUUUUUGCCAACAAACACAGGAAUCAGCAUUACCCUCGCAAUUUUCACAAGCUGAUCAUGGUUGUCAUGGCCAUAAAAGAAUGGCUCUUUUCUAAAUAUCUGGCAUCGAGUACAGGCACAAAUAGCAUUAGAAGAUAAUAAAAAGGGGCUAAUUGAAGGCAUCAAAUAUGUAUGCUUCGCUUACCAUUCCUGCAAACAUGCAACCAAGGCUCCACAUGUCUAAAGAAUAAUCAUAGUCUUGU
rnacentral:misc_RNA from 1 species